rnacentral:rRNA from 1 species
GUGCCAGCAGCCGCGGUAAGACGAACUGUGCAAACGUUAUUCGGAAUCACUGGGCUUAAAGGGUGCGUAGGCGGUCUUUUAAGUAGGGUGUGAAAGCCUCUGGCUCAACCAGAGAACUGCGCCCUAAACUAGAAGGCUUGAGUGAGGUAGGGGUGUGUGGAACUUCCAGUGGAGCGGUGAAAUGUGUUGAUAUUGGAAGGAACGCCGGUGGCGAAAGCGACACACUGGACCUUGUCUGACGCUGAGGCACGAAAGCCAGGGGAGCAAACGGGAUUAGAUACCCCCGUAGUCC